CCACCCGAUCUCCUCCCUUACUGGAACCUCCGGUCCUCCUCGAUCUCGCCCUCUUCCAUCUCCUCUGGGCCCGCCGAUGUGGGCCGCGUCUCCGUGUCCUCGGCCAUGCCGGCGGCGGCAGCGAUGCGUUCUGGCGUCGGCGCCGACGAAGUUCACGUCUCAUCCCCUUGCCCAUUAAUCCCGUGUCUGGACCAAGCACGACACCACCUCGGUGUUGCACGCCGCGACAAUGCCCGCCCGGGCUCAAACCCUCCUCCCCCACGAUUUCCUCCUCCUCGACGCGCCGCUCUCUUCGUCCCUUCUCUCCUCCGCUUGCCGCUUGGUCGUAGAACUAGUCAGGGCAGGGGACGACAUGGCCGCCUCUAUACAUUGUCGUCGCCGACGACCGCCAGAGGAGCAGCUUCCCCUGCACGCGCCCCAUCCUGCAGAGCGCGCUCCAGCUCAUGGGCUGCAAGCCACGCCUCACCUUCAAGGUCUGUCUUCCCCCAUCUUGCUUGUCCCCCAAUCUGUCAGCUCACUUCUUUUCCCUUGGGUUCAGUCUGAAUCUUUAGAUUAGACUCAGUAUCAUACCAUCUCUGCCGCACCCCUGAACCUCCAUAGAAAGCGAUGUAGAUCAGUUUUUUUUGGUAUUCCAUACUCCUCAUAUCCUACUUCAAUUGGCUGAUGGGAUCAGUCUCAUAGUGUUUUUCGUUACAAUUAGCGAGCGUUGUACAUCUACCUCAUAUCCUGCUUCAAUUGGCUGAACCUACAGAGUGUAUUUAAUUGCAGUAUGAUGUUCACAGCAGGGGCGGAGCUACUAGGAGCCUCCCUAAUGCACAGGCAUCAGGGUCGAUGUUGAUUUCUUGAAGCGAUUGUGUAGAGUUGUUUGGCCGUGCACCAGGUUAGGCUGACAGCGGUGCAUCAGGUACAGAGACAAUCCCACGGCGGCCUUGUUCGGAACUUGUUCAUGGGUAGGCCAGGUCUUGUUCAGACGUGGCCAGGCCUUGGCGUAGCCUUGUGGGCUGUAGCCUUUUGGGUAGGUUUGGUGUGGCUGGGCAUCAAGGCGUCAAUGCCCUUAGGUGUUGUAGCGUCACGCCGACACGCGAUCACUCCACAAACCACAACGGAUGGGCGACGCUGCGCUAGGCUCGAGCUUUACACCUAGCAUCAUCCAUGCUAAUCCGAUCAGCCACUGACCUCAGCUCCGGCUCAAAGGUGGAGUAUGACGUAUAGAUGUAGUAAAUCUUAAAUCUCGGGUUAACCAUUGCAAAAAUUGUGCUUUUAGGCGGUAUCUUUAGAUUUUUUUUAGUUCUAUGUACGGGGGUAUUCUGAAGUUGAGAAUUCAGUUCAUUUACUUGACUUUAUCAAAUGUGGAUAGCCACAAGACUGGAGAUGGGAGACUUUGUGUAUAGUUUAAUAAUGUUGCAAUAAGUCGUUCCAUCGUCGUAUUUUCCCUCCUUUUUUGCAAUAAUUUUUCAGAAACUAUUGCCAAUGUACUAAGUCUUAUUCAGAGAUUGUCAAUAUUGUUGGGCGUCUCCUGCUCUCCCUCUUUUAUAUUUGGUUGUUUGGUCUCACACUGAAGCUGCUAGAUGUAAUGUGGACUUAGGGCCAGAACAGAGAAGAAGCAGAGCAGCUAGACUCGGGUGUGUGUUCAAGGCAACAAAUGCCCUUUUUCCACUGAACCACCAACACAUGCUAGCUCUGCUCUUUUGAUGUUCACUUACACAAAAAAGACCAGACUGUAUCCAUACCCGUGCACGCACACAGCCCACACUGUACUACACUAUUUAGGUACACACUCAGUACAAUAUCUUCAGCUUCUACAAUGGCUUGUCUGACUGGUUAUAUUUGGUUUCAAUGAAUUGAUAGGAACGCAGCCAAAAGAACGCCAAUAACCGUGAAGACAAAACACAAAAUUGGAUCAAAAUCUUACUCGCAAAGAAACUUGGAACUCACCCACAUGAACGACGGAACAUGGUCUAACACGGUCCUAGAAAGUUUACAACAAAGCACGUCAAGAGGUUCAAAAUAAAGAAACUGAAACUGAAGGUCCACUUUCAAGUGAGCCAACAGAUGGGAACCCAACAGGUGCCUAAGGAUUGACAAAGAAAAUAGUAACCCAAAUUUGCAAAAUACUCUUUUAUAGAGAUCUAGUCCUAAUAAGACUCGAGGUUCAAGGCCAAUUAUUAUUUCUUCAAAUGCGCUCAUACAAGCUGCAGCAAGGAAUUCUCGAAUGUUUAAAGCAAUGGAUCCAGAACUAGCUGGCCUGGACUCUAGAUCACAGACCCUUUAGUCUUCGCAAUUAAUUAGGAUGGCUAAAUUACAUCUAAGUUUCAUUUGAUGGAUAUUUGCUACGAGAAUUAUGAACUUUAUGACAUAUUAUACGUAUGGUUUUGAAUAUUGUAAUUGAAUGCAUGUAUUUUUUUUACGGUUGCAAUAUGCUACAACCCACUUUCGGUUGCCACAUGUUAGCACCACUAAAAAAAAGUGUUGCGUCAUAUCUCA